rnacentral:tRNA from 1 species
GGUUCCAUGGCCCAAUGGAUAAGGCGCUGGUUUACGAAACCAGAGAUUCUGAGUUCGAUGCCAAGGGGAAUCG